UACGAAGGGGGCUAGCGUUGUUCGGAAUUACUGGGCGUAAAGCGCACGUAGGCGGAUAUUUAAGUCAGGGGUGAAAUCCCAGAGCUCAACUCUGGAACUGCCUUUGAUACUGGGUAUCUUGAGUAUGGAAGAGGUAAGUGGAAUUCCGAGUGUAGAGGUGAAAAUUCGUAGAUAUUCGGAGGAACACCAGUGGCGAAGGCGGCUUACUGGUCCAUUACUGACGCUGAGGUGCGAAAGCGUGGGGAGCAACAGGG
rnacentral:rRNA from 1 species